UGUCGAGUGACGUAGAAUCAUUGAAACUACAACUUAAAUCAGGUUUUUGGCUUUAAUUUUUAUUAAACUGCGUCCAUGAUAUAAAAUGAUAUACAUAUUGUUUUCACAUUUGUGGAAGUGUUUAAUUGUAUAUACACAGUUUUAAGGCGUAAGCACACCAUUGAUAAAAUACAAAGUCAGCUGCGCACUACAGAGCGUAACCUUACAAACGAAAUUUCGGUUGUAACAAACGAAAUAAGUCUAUUAACAGAGCAAUUAGAGAUACUCGUUAAUGGUAUUUCGGAAGUGAAUACUCAAAUAGCCGUGGUAGAGAUCUGUAAAGCUUCGGAACAGUGUAAAAUGAAAGAACAAGUUGAAAGCCUCAACCAACACGUGGAUGGAUUCAAACAACUUUUUUUAAAAGAACAAGCGGUGCAAGUGCAAGACAUUAAAGCCAAAGAAGCCGAGGCGGAAGAAUUAAAAAAGAAAGAACUCCAACUUGAAGAGGAACAGAAGACAAUAGUUAGCGCUCUUGAAAAAGAAACAGUGAUGAUUGAACGUGAAUGUGCCGUCUUAAAGAAACGUAACAAUGCAAUCAUGUUAAAGCUGAGACGUCAGCUCCUUGAAGCAAAUAAGAUACGGCAAACAUUAAUUAAAAAUAAACAAACGGAUUUUUAAAGUUAGGUAUUUAU